GAUUGGGUCUUGUGACCACAAACCUAGAGACAUACAAGAUCGAUGAGGUAGACGUUGUUCAAUUUGUUUAGUGAUCUACUCUUUUCCUCAAGGUUGAAGGAUCCUUUCUUCAUGUGCGUCUUCCUCCUGCAGAUGUGAUCGUUGGUAGUAACUAAGGUGGUUUGGUGUUUCAUGAAGUUUUACAGAUUGGUGCUCACGCCGUGGUGGUAUGCCAGCUAUUGCAGCAUGUGUUAGCAAUCAACACCAGGACUCCAUAAAGACCCAAAGAGAAGCAGAGGAACAAUGAAGAUAUGUAUAUACCGAGCAUGUAGUGCAGCCUGCAAGUUGCCGGCAUUCUUCAGGUUGCUCUUGAUGUCCACGUUGAGCAUAGAUAUCCUACUUGUCUAUGCAUUUGAGUUCUAAUUACAAUAUAAUUGUGAAUAUUUUUCUUUGCAGAACUAUCGAACAACUUAAAUUAACAAGUUGGCAACCCUUGAAUGUGUAGAACAGUAGCGAGGAGAUUGUUGCCGAGCUUACAAAUCACUAUGCCCAGCACACACAUAUCUGAUUUCCUCAUGUUGGCCUUUUUACAUCCAGAAAAAGACUGUCCAAAUAACACCUAUGGUCAAUUUAAAUUGUCAAUGGCUGUUUGUUUUAUACACAUUAUUUUCUAAAUUUUUGUCAAACUUCAACACAUAUAUACUUCUAACAGAGUCAAACAUGCUACAUGCAUAUCAUUUUCUUAGAUGGUAUAUAAGGCUUGAAUAGUAAUUGUGGGUUCUCACGUACUAUGUAUACGUAAGAGAGACUACAUGGAUGACAUAUCAUUAGAAAAAUUGAAAGAAUUAUGGUGGCUAUUAAUUUGCUUGAAAUGAUUACCCCACUACAAUGCUUCUCAUAGCUUUAUUGUUCUGUGAUGCAAGCAUAUGUGUUCUGAAGCCUUUUUUGCCAGGGAACUCUGAAGCAUGUGGUUCAAGUAAAUAUUGUACGGUCAGGGAAAAUCUUUGCAUAUUCAGGAGCAGACCGCAAGCUGCUGGUGCGAAAACACAAUUGGUACCGUACAUCAGGCAAAGCUUCACUACAGAGUUCUGCAUAGGGAUAUGCAUUUUGCAAAGGUAUUGACCUUCUUUUCAGUGAGGCAAAUAGAAAUUGACACAUGUUCUCAUUGUGCCAACGAUUUAUGUGCUGCGCAUUGGUUUGUAAUUUUCUGUGCAUUUGGUAUGAAAUUUAUCACUCGCUUUUGAUUGUUUUUUCCCAAUGAGAGGCCUUGCUAAUAGAUUGUCAUCUCUCAUUGUACUAUGAUUGUGGAAGAUGCAAUAUCUUUAGUAUUUUGAGCAACGACAUCCUCCAAGAAGGUGCAUCGAAUGCAUUCUAGGACCUGGGAGACAAAGCUGAAUCCAUUAUUGUGAAGAUGAGCAAGUAGUUGAAUGUUUUGUAAAGAACAAAUUCCAGAACAGAAACAUGAUGAGAUGGUUCAGCCAGGUCACAACUCUAAUAAUCACUAACUACAGUAAUACCUAAAUAUUUCACUUUUCUAAAAUGAUUGUCUUAUUUUACUUUUUAUUACUCAAGCUCGAGCAACAUUUCUGCUACAUUGGAAUUUACUACUUCCAGUCAGUGUGUUCUUGGUUAUACAUGGGAGUCAAAAAAAUGCAGACUCCUUUCUUUGCUGCAUGAUUGUAGAUGGCUACCAAAUAGGAAUUUUUUUCAACCUUCAGUAAAUAUAGAUGUAUUUUGUACGUGCAGGUUUGAUGCAUGACAUGAUUGCAGAUGCGUGUAGAUUUCAGCUUGUGCAAGAUAAAAAAUGAAGGUAAGGAGGGAGGGGCAGAAGAAAUGAUGAUUGUCGAGGGGGGAAGAAGCGGGAUAAAAUCAGUUUAUUGAUGGUAACCACAUUCCAUCUUGUUCAACUAAUCAUCAUGUUCAACUAAUUUUUGAUCUGGGAUUACUGAUCACUAUGUUUUUUUAUCCCGUGGCAACGCACGGGCAUUAAAC
rnacentral:lncRNA from 1 species